AAUAAAGGAAGAAAAAAGAACUACAAGUGAUAGCUGUCAAAUACAUCUAAAAACAUUUUAUUUUUCCAGUUCAGACCAGUGACAAUUUCAAGAGGUACCAGAAAUGAACACUGCCCCAGUUUCUCACCGAAGCUUCCCUUUCAGAACCCAGGUUUUCCUAGCACGUGUUCCUGUCACCAUAGUUACCCUUAACCUUUGCAUCAUAUUCCUGUCACGGAUGCCAGAAAGGCCAGCCAUGGAAUGAACAAAAGAGCAGAAGAGACCCUAUGCAUAGAGGCAAAAACGGGACAAACACAGAGGUUUGCUCCGGGAUCAGGGGUCAGGCGAUGUCGGGGAUGAGGCCUAUGCCCUCAGGACACGAAUGUGGGGUGACCUGGUGCUAGAUGGGCCUCAUGACAUCCGUACCCUAAUGCUGAGCCCACAACACUGGAGACACAGGGACUAAAUAGGAAACGGAAACCAGACACACCGGAAGGACAUGCAUAAUCACACGAAACUAGGAACGGGAAUGAAUUGGAGCUCCCUCUAGGGGUAGGAUGUCAACCGAGAGAGUACCACACGUAGAAUAAGCUGCACAGCACAGGGGGGGAGGGAAAACCUAAUUAAACUGUCAGGAAACUUCUGGGAGUCAAUGACUGAGAGCUACCCCCUCCUCCAGGGUAAUACUGUACAAUAAUAAAGUUUAUUGUAUUACACUUGCAUUGCAGGCCUG
rnacentral:lncRNA from 1 species